rnacentral:tRNA from 1 species
AAGGGUAUAGCUCAGUGGUAGAGUGCAUGCUUAGCAUGCACAAGGUCCUGGGUUCAAUCCCCAGUAUCUCCA